CAUCUGAUUACCGAAGUUAAACAACGUUGUGCCUGGUCAGUAGCUAGAUGGGUAACCGCGUGGGAAUACCGGGUGCCGUAAG